rnacentral:tRNA from 1 species
CAGGAAGUAGUUUAAAAAAAACAACAGUUUUGGAAACUUUAGAUAACUUUUUAAGUUUUUCUUGA